GAUGAACGCUGGCGGCGUGCCUAAUACAUGCAAGUCGAGCGAACAGACGAGGAGCUUGCUCCUCUGACGUUAGCGGCGGACGGGUGAGUAACACGUGGAUACCCUCCCUAUAAGACUGGGAUAACUUCGGGAAACCGGAGCUAAUACCGGAUAAUAUAUUGAACCGCAUGGUUCAAUAGUGAAAGACGGCUUUGCUGUCACUUAUAGAUGGAUCCGCGCCGCAUUAGCUAGUUGGUAAGGUCACGGCUUACCACGGCAACGAGGCGUAGCCGACGGGAGAGAGGGGUAGGCCGCAUGGGAGGUUGAACACGGUCCAGGCUACUAAGGGAGGCAGCAGUAGGGAAUCUGAGGCAAUAGGCGAGAGCAUGACGGAGCAGCGCGGCGUGAGUGAUGACGGUGUUCGGAGCGUAAAACUCUGUUACUAGGGAAGAACAAAUGUGGAAGGAACUAUGCACGUAUUGACGGUACCUGAUCAGAAAGCCACGGCUAACUACGUG
rnacentral:rRNA from 1 species